CAAGUUCGGAGCGGGUGGCCGGUUCGGCGAGCCCUCCUGUGGUUCCUCUUCCUCUUCUUUCGGGUCCUGGCGGCCGCUCGGGGCCGGGGGCGCUGCCGGGCGCCGAGCCGCAGGGCGACUAGCGUGUCUCAGAUAAAGGACCCUCUUCAGUUUGGAUCCUGGAAUGAGAAGACGCAUGGAAUUCAGCGGAGCCAAAGCCAGUUAGCGUUGGCCAUGUCACAUGGACAAAAUGUUUGUUAUAAACCGCUGAGAUUUUAGGAAGCAUUUUUACCACAGCAUAACUUUGCCUAGGCCACCUGAUAAGCACUUUUCAGUAUGUGAGUGUCUAUGAUGUCCUUCACUGCUAUUGAAGACUGAGAAGGUGGGCACAUCCUGGCCUGGAAAUGUCAGGCAUCAUGUGCCAGAACAACGCCCCUUUUUAUGGGCGACUUGCCACCCUGAGUUCCUGCUGAAAGAGAAGUGCUACCAUUACUCCAGGCUGCCCAGCUGACCUGCGACCACAUGAACGAGGUGCUGCAAAUUCUCACCUUAGACUAAAAGCUCGAGACUCUUGGGGGUCCAGUGGAAGCAGGGAGGUGCUCAGCUGAAAGAAAUAGUCAAGGCUGGUAUGUCAGUCUGUUCUAGGCUGCUAUAACAGAGCUUCACAGCUGGGUGGUUUCUCAACAACAGAAAUUUAUUUCUCACAGUUCCGGAGGCUGGAAGUCCAAGAUCAAGGUAGAGAAAAACCGGGUCAAAGAAAUGUUCAAUAACACCCCCAGAUCCUGAUGGAGCUAGGAUUUGAACUCGGGCAAUUUGCCUGCUGAGCCAGAGUUCCCAACCACUACGUUGUAUCACUUGCUUCACGACAGAUCCGGUUUCGUUUCUUCUACUUAACAGAACCGCCCGAGGUACAGCACGGCACCUGUUUUUUAUUUGUGUUCAUUUAGGGACUGAUUCUCCCAUCACCGCCCCGAGGAAAGCAGGGCAGGAGCCCGGGCCCCGGCACUCAGCCACAGGACCUGCGCACGGUAAGACUCAACGCAGGUUUAUUUGGUGAAUGAAGCCCACGUUUACUGAAGAAGAAACAAACUUCUGACUCCCAAGUCCAGUGUUCUUGUCAAUAUAGCCUGCUGCCUGCCUGAAUGGCUGCUGUGAUGUGUACAUGCAACUUUCCCCCCAGUGGGGGGAUGAAAACACUGCACGUGGGGCGUGGACAGUCCAUCGUCCUGUGACCAAGCAGCUCCAGUAGGAACACCAACAGUUACAUCCAGGGACAUCAAACAGGGCCUUGGCAGGACGGGUAUAUACGUUAUAUUAUACUCAUUUUCAUGUGUAUUAACAUACACGAAAUGUUAACGUCUUUGACUAUUAAAUUGUCUACAUCAUAUAUGAUUAAUAUUUAUAUAUAUUAUAUUCGCCUUUUAUGUAUAUUAUAUCCAUUCUAUUAAGAUUUAUCAAAAAUGGAA